GAUGAACGCUGGCGGCGUGCUUAACACAUGCAAGUCGAACGGGAUCCAAGGGGUGCUUGCACUUUUUGGUGAGAGUGGCGAACGGGUGAGUAACACGUGAGUAACCUGUCCUUUUCUUUGGGAUAAGCAUUCGAAAGGGUGUUUAAUACCUUAUGUUCUGUCUGCCUCGCAUGGGGUGGGUGGGAAAGGCUUUGGCCGUAUUUGGGUGGGCUCGCGUUCUAUCAGCUUGUUGGUGGGGUGAUGGCUUACCAAGGCUUUGACGGGUAGCCGGCCUGAGAGGGUGGUCGGUCACAUUGGGACUGAGAUACGGGCCGGACUCCUGCGGGAGGCAGCAGUGGGGGAUAUUGCACAAUGGGCGAAAGCCUGAUGCAGCGACGCCGCGUGGGGGAUGAAGGCCUUCGGGUUGUAAACUUCUUUUGCUCUGAACAAGGCAUGCCAGUGAGUGUGUGGAGUGUAGGGGUUGAUUAGCGCCGGCUAGCUACGUG
rnacentral:rRNA from 1 species